rnacentral:lncRNA from 1 species
UACGAAAGCUUUAAUGUGCAACUAAAAUUUGCUGACACCGUCCGGUAGGGCGUCUGCGAAGAUGGCACAAUGCAUUUAACGAUAACAGGCGUGCGCUUGUAUUGAACGUUUGCUUAGCCCGAUGCGCCCAGCCAUGCCAUGCGCGUUGCGCUGAGCGCAUGCGCUGCUGCGUCCUAGCUUGUCGGUUUUCUGUCGUGGGAGUAGCCGCGAAAAGUGUGUCUCGAGAUGAUCGGCGAAUUCGCUGACACGAAAUACCAGUACGUUCAAACUGUGUCCACCGCUCGCUAGGAUGUGCGUUACGGCGCUGCUGUUGGCAGGCGAAGCUUCAGCGCUGGUUGCCCUAUAGGGAGCGCAUUUUAGCGGAUGCAGUCGGGCGCCAUGGGCGGGACUCGAGGAACUGGCACCUCGCAAGGGUUACGGACACCAGAUGGGCUGGCGCCGUGGAAUGACCGAAAGGCUUACCUCCUUGCCUCGGGUAGACGGCUCCCUUCAGGAUGGACGGCGUCUUCCCCAUGAACGGUCGCCCCUGGCCCUCGGCCUGCUGGUUGCCCAGGAGGGCUUCCUCCAGGCCGUCCGGGGGAAACGCCUGCACGUCCGCCAUCUUUUAGACUCUUGCCCCGGGCUGUCGGUUUUCUGCGGUUGUCGAUGACGAUCUCGCACACUUGCCCUACGACGGGGGAAUUGUCUUAGAAGCGAGCGGUAGAAUAGUAAGGAAGGAAGACGUGGAGGGAAAUAUAAUAGUGACAGUGUUAAAGCUUGAAGUUAUUGUUAAUAUUAAAUUAUUGUUAUUA